rnacentral:tRNA from 1 species
GGAAGGGUGGCCGAGUGGUUUAAGGCAGCGGUCUUGAAAACCGCCGAGGCAGUGAUGUCUCCGUGGGUUCGAAUCCCACCCCUUCCGCCA